GUCAAAUUGGCCGAGCGGUCUAAGGCGCCAGAUUUAAGCUCUGGUUCCCGUAAGGGAGCGUGGGUGCGAACCACACAUUUGACA
rnacentral:tRNA from 1 species